UUUGACUAUAUAAAUACCCUAAAAGCACUAGGUUCCAUUUGAUCUUAGAAGCUAAGCAGGAUCAGCCCUGGGUAUUACUUGGAUGGAAGACCCCCAAUAAAUGGCAGGUGUUGUAGGUG
rnacentral:rRNA from 1 species